rnacentral:rRNA from 1 species
CCUACGGGAGGCAGCAGUGGGGAAUCUUGCGCAAUGGGCGAAAGCCUGACGCAGCAACGCCGCGUGCGGGAAGAAGGCUUUCGGGCUGUAAACCGCUUUCAGCAGGAACGAAAAUGACGGUACCUGCAGAAGAAGGAGCGGCCAACUAUGUGCCAGCAGCCGCGGUGAUACAUAGGCUUCAAGCGUUGUCCGGAUUUAUUGGGCGUAAAGAGUUCGUAGGCGGUCAAGUAAGUCGGGUGUGAAAAUUCUGGGCUCAACCCAGAGACGCCACCCGAUACUGCUUAACUUGAGUUCGAUAGGGGAGUGGGGAAUUCCUAGUGUAGCGGUGAAAUGCGCAGAUAUUAGGAGGAACACCGGUGGCGAAGGCGCCACUCUGGAUCGAUACUGACGCUGAGGAACGAAAGCAUGGGUAGCAAACAGGAUUAGAUACCCUGGUAGUCCAUGCCGUAAACGGUGGGCACUAGGUGUGGGUUUCUAUUAACGAAAUCCGCGCCGUCGCUAACGCAUUAAGUGCCCCGCCUGGGGAGUACGGUCGCAGACUAAACUACAAGAAGUAGACGCGNGAGACGUGCCGACGGACGACGACGAGGGAGUAGG